AGCAACUGAAUAUUCUAUUAUUUAUUCCAUAUAAUAUUUUCUGAAGAAUAUCCUAUCAGUAUGCCCUAGAUUAGGAAAAGAUAUUAUCACUUAGAGAGAUGGUAGAAAUGGCCAUGUAAUUUUGACAAUGCUUUCUCCUCUCUCUCUCCUUCCUGCCCUUUCUUAUUGCUAAGCAAUAAUAUCUCUAUUGCACUGUCACUGCGGUGUCAUUAUGUUUGUCUGCAAAAUAAGAUCACCUGAGAAGAGCAAAAGAGUGUUGACUGGCCAGAAGUUCCAAUUCAGAAGAGUUUUAUGCAUAUAUAUUUAAUGCAUAUGGACAUCAUCUCAAACUCCAUCAGAAGAUAUGAGGGAGGAACAGCAAAGUAGACUUAACUAGUGAGAAGAGGAGACUUUUCUACCAAU